AGUGUACUUCCGGUUUGUACCUUCUCCGGUGUAAAAAGUCUAAAACGACAUAAACUUGAGUAAAUUUGUUCCGGUAAGAAAACAAAAAUUUUGUUGUCUUUGGUUGUUUGUCUCAAGAAUUUAUCCAUGACAGGUCAACAUUGGUAUCUGGAAUCAUCCCAAAUAUUUUGAAAGUAACUCACAAUAGUUCAACAUGGCUCCGACAGUGCAGACCGGCCCACGGGAGGAGCGAGAGAGGAAAAACCGCAAUGUUGUGGAGAAGAGAUCUGAGCUGGUGUGUCGUGUCAAAUACAAUAACACACUGCCUGACAUUCCGUUUGAUCCCAAGUUCAUUACAUAUCCAUUCGAGUCAAACCGUUUCAUCCAGUACAAACCCACCUCACUGGAACGCACUUACAAGUACGACAUGCUCACAGAACAUGAUCUUGGGGUAACGAUUGAUCUAAUCAACCCAGAAACCUACAAGUUGAGCCCAAACAUUUACGCUGACUCUGAAGAUGAGAGACUUCUUGAGGAAGAGAUCAACACUCUACACGAUUCCCGUCGUUCCCGUCACCACAACACUUCAGUGUCAUGGUUGCGUAAGACUGAGUAUAUCUCAACAGAAUAUAAUCGAUUCAUACAGAAAUCUGACAAACAUGAAACAAAGGUCGGCUUCAAAUUGAAGCAGAUAAUGAAAGAGGAGGAUCUAUAUAAGGACCGCGAUAGCCAAAUUAAGGCCAUUGAAAAGACUUUUGAAAAUGCCAAAACUAACAUUGCUAAACAUUACAGCAAACCUGGUGUCACCCCAGUUGAGAUUUUACCUGUCUUUCCUGAUUUUGAUCUUUGGAAACACCCCUUUGCUCAGGUCAUCUUCGAUUCUGAUCCUGCUCCAAAGGCACGGACCCCAUCUGUUCAAGCUGAAGAGAUGUCUCAAGCUAUGAUCCGAGGUGCCGUUGACGAGAGUGGUGAGCAAUUUGUGGCGUAUUUCUUGCCAACAGAGGAGACCUGCAACAAAAGAAAGCAGGACCAAACUGACGACAUCUUGUAUCAGCCUGAUGAUUUCUAUGAUUAUACGCUGGCUCGCGAGUACAACUGGAAUGUCAAGAACAAGCUAUCGAAGGGCUAUGAGGAGACAUACUUCUUUAUCUUUCGUGACGAUGUCGUCUACUACAAUGAGUUGGAAACGCGCGUACGGCUGAGCAAAAGGCGUAAAACGGGGGCCGGUGCCGCUCAGGUGGCUAAGUCAAGGCUGAUUGUCAAACACCGCGACUUAUAUGACAAGGAAAUCACAGCACAGAAUGUCCGGCUGACCAUGCUGGAACCACAGCAAGAAGAAGAAGAGGAAGAGGAGGAGGACGAAGAGGAAGGGUCUGGCAAAGAGGAAGAGGAAGGGUCAGCAAAGGAGGAUGACGGUGAUAAGAAAUCGGUGGAGGGCAGCGACGGUGGCAACAGCAGUGACAACGAGAGUGUCAAGUCUGGUGGCAGCAGCAGCAGCGCCAGCAGCAAGAAAAGCAACCGCAGUGCCGCCAGCAGCCGCAGAAAGAGCAGCAGCAGUAGUAGCAGUAGUGAAGGUGAAGGUGGUGCUGGCAGUGGUGAUGAAAGAAGUGAAAAGGCUGGUCAGGAAGAGGAGGAAGAGGAAGCAAAAGGUGGCAGCGGAAGUGAAAAAGAAGCUGGCGACAGUGGGAGUGAGAGUGAGGCAGAAAGCGAGGCCCAAGCAAACGAGAACAAGAAGGACAAGGAAGCAAUUUUCGGUUCGAGCAGCGAGAGUGAAGCCGAAGAAGAGAUGGAGGAGGAGAACAAGGAAGACGAAGAACAGAUCUUUGGUUCUGCCAGUGAUGGAGAGAAUGAACCAGAUAACAAAAAGGAUGAGGAAGAAAUUUUUGGAGUUGCCAGUAGUUCUGAUGACAGUUCUUGAACACCAGAUUAACAGUUUGAAAAUUUCAUUUAAUUAAUUAAUUCUUUGGUGUGGGGAGUAAGAAGGGAAAGGGGGUUACUUAUUUUAAUUAAAAGUGAAAAAACUAAAAGCUCUUCUCAGUACUUGUGUGGUACUUAUUAUAUCAAGCUGUCAGGGUGGUGCUCCAGCAUGACCAUAGUCCAGUGACUGAAACAAGUAAAAGAAUUUGUGUAUGUGUGUGUGCGUGCGU
rnacentral:misc_RNA from 1 species